CUUUUUGCUAUUUCUUUGGGCCGCUCCCGCGGCAUAUGGAGGUUCCCAGGCUAGGGGUCGAAUCAGAGCUGUAGCCAAUGGCCUACACCAGAGCCACAGCAACGCGGGAUCCGAGCCACGUCUGCAACCUACACCACAGCUCACGGCAACGCCGGAUCGUUAACCCACUGAGCAAGGGCAGGGACCGAACCCGCAACCUCAUGGUUCCUAGUCAGAUUCGUUAACCACUGUGCCACGACGGGAACUCCAGAAGCAAAGCGUCUUCUCCAUCAAGGGCCGAUCGUAAACCUGAAGACAGCCAUUGCUGCCCACUGUCCCCUGGUGAUCUCUUCUUGAUUACAUCCCCACAUUGCUUGGCUUGCUAUGAGUAAGCAAGGAGGAGACUGGCCUUGUUCUUGGUCUCUAUCCCAGCUUUCUCUUUCUCUUUUUAAAUGUAUUGACAAAACGGGAGCACAGUUCUCAAAGGAGAGAAAUUUGCCAAGAAUAGGCUUCUAGAACAUAGAUUAUUAUUUUUGAAUCUGUCUAAUAUUUAUCAAGGAAAAGAGCCCUGGGAAUACAACUGGCCAUACAAGCUACACGUCUAUCUUAGAUCCUACAUAUUCUUAUCCACGUGCACUGCUUUUAGAUUGACUACUAAUCUAUUCCUUUAGUCAAAGAAAAUAUACUUACUGGGCACUUUCUCUGGAUCAGGCUGUAUGCUAGGCUUUGGGGUUAGACAUGGGGCUACAGCAAUCAAUAAGGCAUUGAUGCAUAUUUGAGAAACUUACACAUGUGUGAAAGGAUAAUUAACAUGAAAAGUAUUGUGUCAUAAAAUAUGCUCAGAGAAUUCAAGGAGCACUGUGGAAAGGCACUGGGUCCAUUCGAUGAAUCUUCAAAAAAUGAAGAGUAGAGAAGAAACAGUACAGAUUUCAGGCAGAAGGAACCACAUGGGCUAAGGUACAGGGGACAGGUAUAGGUGAAAGUAGAGGAAGGUUUAUAUGAUUUGGUAUUGCUGGCAAAUAAAAUUGGAGGCAGGAAGGGGCAAAUCAUCUCAGCGGGUCACCUAGAGCUUCAUUCAUUGCUAGCUGAUUCAUUUAUCAUUCAUUCAUGCAACCCUUCAUCCAUCCAUCUGACCAUUCACUUCUUUUUUCAAAGCCUGUGAUAAGUCUUUUCUUUAAGCUUGGAGUUGCACUAGGCCCUCAGAACUCAAAAGUUGUGCAGACAAUGCCAUUUGGACUCUCCAAGACAUUUUAAAUUUGAUAUUCCUGCUCCCUUUGUAUAAGACACCUAAUUCCUAUAUGAUCUGUAUCAUGAUCCAGCUAUCCACCAGGUGCAUACACUAAAAGCCAGUUGAAAUUCCCCAAUUGUCUUCCCCGGUAAAUAGAACAAAUGCAGCAUCUCUCCAGGUGUAAAGUCUUAAGACAUGGCUUUCCCAUUGAAUUUUACCCCCAUUUUCUACUAUCCCAGCCCUCUCGGUGGGGGGCAUUAUUUUUCUGUUCUGAUCUCCAUUCAUCUCUCCUUCUGAAAAUGGUUUCCUCUAUGCUACUGUCUCUAUACUCUACUUCCAAUACCUGUGGGGUUCAGGUGGGGCUGGUUUCUUCCUCCCACCUCAGGGAUGCAGAUAUGACCCAAUCCUAAUCAGGAAUAUUUCAUUGCUCUGGACAAAAUGGUUGGUUCAGUUGUGCAGCUGGGUCCGAGCUGAGUCAACUGAAAUAAUACAAAAAUAAUGGAUAUUGCGAUGAUUAGGAACUUGAACUCUGGAUCCAGGCCAAUUUGGUUUGAUUUCUGCCAGAAGUAUCACUUUAAGCAUAUUUCAUAGUCACUAGGAUAGACUGAUUGCAAAAAUGGUCUCAAUUCUUCACCCUAUUAUCUACCAAUGCAAUUUUUCUAUAUGACUCUCAAAAUCCUCUCAUGAGUUAGUGAUCUAUUUCCCCAUCCUUUGGAUCUGGACUGAACUUGUGACUACUCUGGCAAAAAGAAUGUGGCAGAAGUGACAGUAUUUUAGUUCCAAGCAUAAGCCUCAAAAAGCCUUGAGCAAUUAGGCCAGAAAAAGACAUAAAAGGCAUCCAAAUAGGAAAGGAAGAAAUAAAAUUGUUUCUGUUUUGCAGAUGACAUGAUCUUAUAUAUAAUACACUCUGAAGAUUUCACCCAAAACUGUUAGAAUGAAUAAACAAAUUCAGUCAAGUUGCAGGAUACAAAAUCAACAUUCAAAAAUAGGUUGCAAUUCUAUAUACUAAAAAAUAAAUUAGCUAAAAAAGAAAUGAUUAUCACAACAUUGCAAAUCAACUAUACUUCAAUAAAAACAUUUAAAAAUUAAAAAAAAGAAAUACGGAAGAUAAUCCUAUUUACAAAAGUAUCAAAAAAUGCUUAGGAACAAAUUUAAUUGAGGAGGAAGGAAAGCUGUACACUGGAAAUUAUAGGACAGUAAUGAAAGAAAUAGAAAAAAACAAAUAAAUGAAAAGAUUUAUGUUCAUAAAUUGAAAGAAUUAAUAUUGCCAGAAUGUCCAUGUUACCCAAAGCCAUCUCUAGAUUCAAUGAAAUUCCUAUCAAAAUUUUAAUGGAAUUUUUCACAGAAUUAGAAAAAUGCAAUCCCCAAAUUGAUAUGGAGCCACAAGAGACCCAAAAUAGCCAAACUAAUCUUGAGAAAGAAGAGCAAAAUGGACACAUCCUCCUUUCAGAUCAAACUGUAUUACAAAGCUAUAAUCAUCAAAACAAUACAGCACUGGCAUAAAACAGACACAUAGACCAAUGGAAGAGAAUCAAGAGCCUAGAAAUAAAUCC
rnacentral:lncRNA from 1 species